ensembl:lncRNA
GGGGGGGUGACAGAGAGGCAAGAAAGAAAGGAGAGGAAACAGUGAAGACCACUCUCCUCCUUCUGAGGGCUGCGGAGAGCGAGCAAGCGAACGAGGGAGAGAGAGAGGAAGCACAAAUGCUGGAUAGAUUUGCUGAGCUGGACGCGACUGGCUGACACACACAAACACACACACACACACACGCACUCUGGACUGUGGAUUUAACUCCAGUGAAAACUCAACUGCUGCGGCGGCUGCUCCUAAAACCGAAGUCAACAGAUUUUUGAGGAAGGGGCCAACCAGGACACAGAAGUUCCUUCAAAACGUGUUUUCACUUAGGACUAAAAGAACCCGAGGGAUAAACCCGCCCCCUCCACCCCAUCCACCGCAAGAUGAUUGGCUCCCAGGGCCGAAGCUGAGCGCCAGUUGACGAGAGAAUUGUUGCUAGAUGCUGAUUUGAAAGGCAUCGUCGAGAGUAGGCAGACAGUCGAGCGCCUCGUCUCAGGGUUGGUGUGUGUGGCCCCUCGCUCCGCUGCGGUGGAGGGCUUCACAGACACUGUGGCUGGAUGCAUCACACAGCAGAGCACUUUGUCGGGCGAAGCACACGGGAUGCCUUCCCUCUGGAUGGCCUCAACCGGGAACCAUGGCAACCCGUGAGCAACCGCUCCUGGGCCCCACCGUCCAGGUGUGCUCCCGGCGUCAAUCAACACCAGUUCCACCCCCACGCCCCCCCCAGUCAUGUGACCACGCUGAACCAUCCCAGUAAAUUUUACCCCAAUGGUAAUUACAGUGCCGUCAGUGCCCUCCCUCGCGGAGGCGACAAGCUGGACUUGUCCCCGGUGGCGCUGUUGCCCGGGUUACAGCGUGACGUCCCCCCCGCCAGGGUCCCGCCGGCCCCCCCUCGCCCGUGGGAACAGCUGGGGCUCUACGAGCCAACGUCCGGCGACCACACCCGUCUCCAUGGUUACGGCGGGCCUGCCCCCGGACACCUUGCAGCUUGCGCUAACCAACUGCUGAAGUUUGGCAAUCCACACCAGCAACACGGCUCCAGAACGAUGGGACCUCUCGGAGACACAUGGGGUCAGGCGCAGCAGCAGCCCCGAGCCUUUGCUGGAGGUCAGCUGAAGCGGGCGGCCCCUCCUCUGGGGGAGCACUCUGUGAUCCAGCACGCGCCCCCCCCUCCACCACCCCUCCAGCGCCCUCUACUGGAAGACUGCCCCAACCCCAGCAAGAGGAAGAGGAGCUCACUCUCAGAGC